UGACGGCCAUACCACGUUGAAACACCGCUUUUCGUACGAUCAGCGAAGUUAAACAACGUCGAGCCUGUUCACUACCUAGAUGGGUGACCGCUUGAGAAACCAGGUGUUGCAAU